GCCUCGCGGCUGCGGCGGGGAGGAGCCGCGGGCCGCGGCGGCGGACGGAGGGGGAGGGCCCGGUGGAGCCCUCGGAGCCAGCGUCGAGGGCGCGGAACCGAGCGCGCUUGCCUCCUCGAGGCGCGCGGCUCGGGGGCGUCCAAGGCCCUGGUCCUUCGGCCCGCGGCCCCGGGGCGAGGGCGCGGCGCGGAGAUUGCUCGCUGGCUCCUCUCUCCUCCCCUCAGCCCCUCCGCACUACCUCUGGGUAAAGGCGGCCAAGCCGAGCCUCGGAGAGCAAUGGUUUGAACUCUCACUCCAAGUGAUGAAUUCAUCUUAGUAGUUUUGGAACAGGCCUUCCUUAUGGUUUGUACUUCGAGACUAAGGACAUUGAAAAGAGGGAAAUUGCAUAGUUCACCUAGAGCCAGCUUGACAGCAUAAUCUUUAAGAAUCAAGAAAUCAAGAAUCAAUAUUGGGUUAUUUCUUAAGAUUAAGUCUUGAAAGUCCACUUCGACAUGGCACACCAUGUGCACACUUGAACAUGAAAAUGAUCUUCACUUAAGGAGAUCUCUCUCUUCAGCUAAAUCAACGGAAGUGGUUCCAAGAAGAAGAGACCCCCUAUCUGACCAAACUCAGCCAGACAAAUUAAAUCAGUCUUUUUGAGCAAGGAGUAAAGCUGUACAAGAGUGGCCUGAUCACCCCUUUUGGCUUGCAUCACCACAGAGCAGCCCCCUCUAGGAUGGCCACCUACAUGCAGGUUGUGCCUUGUACAAGGGCACCUGGCUGGGACAGCCAGUGAGAGCUGAAAUCCUGCCAGGCUCCACUCACCAAGCCAGGUUUAUGGGUGUGUGGUUGUGUCUACUCAGACUAUGUGGCUUUUCUAAGUUGUACCAAGGCACCCUGUAUGGGCAAGGGGCAGUUCUGACCAUCCCAGUACCAUAUCCCGGUUCUACCCAGGAUUCCUGACCUCAGAUGGAAUGACGAUUCUCAUGAGCAGAUUAGGUUUGUUGUAAAAGAUGAAAUAUUUGACCCAAACUGAAAUUAAUUUCAUAGAUAAAGCUCAAAAUAUUACUAUGGAUGUGAAUUAUGUUUGUAUGUAUUUAUAUGUAUAUAUAGUUACGUGGAUACACAUUUCUAUGUAUCAGAAAUUAGCACAACCUAAGCUUAGUAAAUGUUGAAAAUAAAACUAUUUUGGGCAUUGGAAUCAGUUUUAUAUAUGAAUUUCUGGUCUUCACAGAAAUACAUACUAUUUAUUACCUUUCAACAAAGAAUAUAUUAAGUGCCAGGCACUGUGCUGAGCAACGUGUAUACAGUAAUGAAAAAUAAUACACCCUGCUUCUGGGUAGUUUAUUAUCUAGCAAGGAGGACAAAUCAUAAGGUCACAGAAUAAUUUAUGAUUUUAUCAGUUGUGCUAAGGCCUGUGAGAGACAUGACAGGAUGGAGAAUAACAAGGCACACUUAUUUCAGAUUAAGUGACUGGAAAAAGUCUGUGAAAAUGACACUUCAGUUUGAGACCUGAGGUGAGUUGGAACGAGUUUAUGGUGUAACUCCACCCUGACGUUUAAAGUACAGAAGCAUUUGAAUUCAGAAUAGAAUAUGAAACAUUUAAGGGAAAGCACAGAAUAAAGAGGUAAAUAAGAAAGGAGAGAGGUUAAAUUCAUAGUGUAGUUUAUAAACUCUAGGUAACUAAUGAAGUUAUAUUCAUGUAUUUGUCGUUUCCUUUUGCAAGUACCUAAUCCUCAUUGAUCUUUGUCUCUUUAAAUCCUGGGUUUUUACUCAACUUCUAAGGAUUGUUGUAGUUUGAAUGGACAUGGUAAUGGCCAUAGUGUCUUACCUAACCAGCACUUAGGUGUUAUGUUUUUGUUUUCAUUUGUGCAUUGUUGGUAACUGUUGAGACUUUUUCAUUCGUGGGAGUUAAAUAUUCAUAAGAUUUUAAACUCUGUGAGGGUAGGAAUUACAUUUCCUUCUCGUUUGGCUCCCCCAGCAAGGAGUCUUAAUAAUACUGUCAUACAUUUCAUACUCCUCAUCCCUCUCAUACAGUGUCAUACACCAGUCUCAUCAUGCAAUGACCAUUCCCUUCAUAAAUUCUGCUGACUGACCAGUCUUGCUCAACUAAAUACCUUUAAAGGUUUAAAAUGGAGGAAAUACUUGCCUUAUAAAAAAAUCUAAAUUGUUAAACAGAAGGGAACACACAACUUAAAGUGCACCAUCAUGAAGGAAUUUCAGGACAUGCUGCUACAAAGUGUGGCUCCAUGGAGGAAAGGCAGCCAACAAAGCCAAAGAAGAAUCACACAUCUUUUUUAAAAUUAAAGAUUCAUUAUAGUUCAAGCACACUGACGCAGUGGUAGGGCUGCUGGUAAGGGUUUUUCUACAGUUACUCAGUCUUCCUUUCAAAAGUUGGCACAGCAGUGCACAAUGAUUCUCUCACGGAGCUUGCAUGCUACUGGAGAAGGCAGUAGAUAACAAAUGGAUAUAAAGUACUCCAGGAGGUGAUGUGUGCUAUAGAGGAAAGGGAUUAUGCGGAUCGAGAAGGCAGGAGUUAUGAGAAAUAAUACAUUUGUAUACAUUGUCAGGAAAGAUGUCUCCAGAGGUAUGGACAGAGACUUGAAGUAGUGAGCCACAUGCAUGCAGAUGUCUACAGGCAUAGGGAACAGCAGGUCAAAGGCCACGAAGCCAGCAUGCUUGGUAUGUCUAAGGAUUAGCGAAGAGACCAGUGUGGCUGGAACAGAGUGGGUGACAGAGGAAAUGACGAGAAAUGUAGCCAGAGAAGUAGCCAGGGGCAGGGCAAAGAUUGCCUAGGAUUUUGUAAGCUAGGUUUCAGAUUUUGGCUUUCACUCUGAAUGAAUGAUUAUCGCUGGGGGUUCUUAUCAGAAGUAAAGAAACUACUCAUUUCCUAUAUCCACAGAGUGAAUUAAAUAUAAGGCAUUGGUUAAAUGGGUGUCAGGAAACUGAAAAAAGCAAAAAGGGAACACUGAAGAAAAACGGGAGCAGCUCCCAUCCUUAGGGACUGAGGAACAAAAGAGGAAUUGGUAUUACCAGAACCUAGAAGCUGACUGAGAGCCCGGAGGGCACCUCGGAGAUAGGAGCCCAGGUGGGGAUUCUCCAAGAUGGUGAAGUGUAGUUGAUUAUGGGAGUGUUAGAAGAAAGCUGGAGACUGGAACCACGUGCCACUGACAGGAUGUGUUUGUUUUCUAAGGCUGCCAUUACAAAGUACCGCAAACGAGGCAGUUUAAAACAACAGAAAUGGUGAUGCCUGGGUGGCUCAGUCGGUUAAGCAGCUGCCUUCGGCU